CUUGUGUCCCCUUCUAAUGUCCAAGAGGUUGAUUUAAUCAUAGAGACGGGACGGGUAGAGCGACACAGCCUCUGACGUGCUAACGGCUCGUAGUUUUUUUUUUUUACCGGAAAAUCAGCUUGUGCGUCGCUCUAGCCUCGUGGUUUUUCUGUCAUAAAGCUGGUCUUAUUUUCUCCCUAUUUGCAUGGGAGCGCCGCUUCAGGUCUAGGAGGAAGUGGUCUGCGAGUCCUGACUUCUGGCCAUUGCGGUGCUCGCUUCUUUCUCUGCUCCAGGGGCUUUUGGUGCCAGUACCAGAGGAGGGCCGGUGCAAGCGAGCGAGCCAUGUCGGGACGAGACGGUGGUAAGAAAAAGCCUUUGAAGCAACCAAAGAAGCAGUCGAAGGAAAUGGAUGAGGAAGACCGAGCUUUCAAGCAAAAGCAGAAAGAGGAGCAGAAGAAGCUGGAGGAGCUGAAGGCAAAAGCUGCUGGGAAGGGCCCGCUUACUGGAGGUGGAAUUAAGAAGUCUGGUAAAAAGUAGCAGAUUUGAUGGACUACAUGACAAGUGAAGCAUUUUAUUUCCCUAGGAUGCUUGGCAGUGGAACAGAGCUAAUGUCGUAGGAUAUGUUAAUCUGUACCCUUGUACAUUUUGUUCAAACAAAAUAAAUUGGGGGUGGGGGGGUUGGCUAAUGACUGUUUUCUCUCUUCACCUGUAUACUUCAGCAUGUGUUAUUACCAAAAUGCAAAUAUCUUCAAGGUCUGAAUCUGUUCAGAGUCACCAGUGUCUCAGAGUUCAGCCAUUCAAUGGCAGUAACCAAUGUCUCAGUAUUAACCUCUACGUUUCUUGUCCCUGCUAUGUUGCAAUAUGCUACACUUCAGGAGGAAUUUUUAUGGGAAAAACAUAGAUUCCAAUAAAGCUGUCAGGACCCAAAAGCACAUUUUUAAAAGGUGUGCCGUCUGGCCUACAACACAUGCAGUUGGGUUUGUUCUAAUAAACAUGUUAACUAACAAA